GACGAACGCUGGCGGCGUGCUUAACACAUGCAAGUCGAACGGAAAGGCCCCUUCGGGGGUACUCGCGUGGCGAACAGGUGAGUAACACGUGAGUAACCUGCCCUUGACUUCGGGAUAACUUCAGGAAACUGGGGCUAAUACCGGAUAGGAAUCCUUGCUGCAUGGUGGGGGUUGGAAAGCUUCGGCGGUUUUGGAUGGACUCGCGGCUUAUCAGCUUGUUGGUGGGGUAGUGGCUUACCAAGGCUUUGACGGGUAGCCGGCCUGAGAGGGCGACCGGCCACAAUGGGACUGAGAUACGGCCCAGACUCCUACGGGAGGCAGCAGUGGGGAAUAUUGCACAAUGGGCGGAAGCCUGAUGCAGCAACGCCGCGGGCGGGAUGACGGCCUUCGGGUUGGAAACCGCUUUCAGCAGGGGCGAAGCUUGUGGUGACGGUACCUGCAGAAGAAGCACCGGCUAACUACGUG
rnacentral:rRNA from 1 species